CAAUAGCGUAUAUUAAAGUUGUUGCAGUUAAAAGCUCGUAGUUGGAUUUCUGGUGGGAGUGAUCGGUCUGUCCCGUUCGGGAUGUGUACUAGUGUCAUCUCUUGCCAUCCUUGGGGAGAGCGUGCCUGGCAUUAGGUUGUCGGGUACGGGAUCCCCAUCCUUUACUGUGAAAAAUUAGAGUGUUUAAAGCAGGCUUAGGCCGUUGAAUACAUUAGCAUGGAAUAAUAAGAUAGGACUUUGGUGGUCUAUUUUGUUGGUUUGCACACCAAGGUAAUGAUUAAUAGGGACAGUUGGGGGUAUCCGUAUUUCGUAGUCAGAGGUGAAAUUCUUGGAUUUACGAAAGACGAACUACUGCGAAAGCAUUUACCAAGGAUGUUUUCAUUAAUCAAGAACGAAAGUUAGGGGAUCGAAGACGAUUAGAU
rnacentral:rRNA from 1 species